rnacentral:rRNA from 1 species
CCAAUAGCGUAUAUUAAAGUUGUUGCAGUUAAAAAGCUCGUAGUUGAAUUUCGGGAUCAAUUUGCUGGUCGUGCCUCUGGUACGUACUGGUAUUAUUGGUUUCUCCCUUCUGACGAACCAUGAUGUCAUUAAUUUGAUGUCGUGGAGAAUCAGGACUGUUACUUUGAAAAAAUUAGAGUGUUUAAAGCAGGAAUUAGCCUGAAUACAUUAGCAUGGAAUAAUGAAGUAGGACGUUUGAUCCUAUUUUGUUGGUUUCUAGGAUUGACGUAAUGAUUAAUAGGGAUAGUUGGGGGCAUUAGUAUUCAAUUGUCAGAGGUGAAAUUCUUGGAUUUAUUGAAGACUAACUACUGCGAAAGCAUUUGCCAAGGAUGUUUUCAUUAAUCAAGAACGAAAGUUAGGGGAUCGAAGACGAUCAGAUACCGUCGUAGUCUUAACCAUAAACUAUGCCGACUAGGGAUCGGAUGAUGUUAAUUUUUUAAUGACUCAUUCGGCGCCUUACG